UUACUAUAUAACCACACCCACCGCAUUGCAGAAGCCACGAGCUGGGGAGAGGCGAAGUGGGGAAGGAGGGAGGGGAGAGAAGGAACAAGCAGGAACCCACGGGCGAGGCGGGGCGAGACAUAGCACGAUGCCAAGGCCAGUUCCCAGGCACGGGCUGAGGGAGGAAGCUUCUUUCCCCGCGCCUGCGGCAGACUCUGCAAAGGAGUUAACCGCCCAAAGUUGAAGGAGGCCCAGCAGCUCUUUACUAUUUCCAUGUUGCCCUUUCUGAGAAGUGCAACCAACAGACAUGAUCGGAAGAGUAUGUUCAUUAUGCACUUCAGUUCAAGUGGCCAAUUAACUGCUUGUUGCUAAGUACAGACUGAGUACACAAGAAAAUGCCAAUGUGAGUAUCCCACACGUGUCAAUGUAGGAGAGUUAUUAUUUAUGAAUUCCCUUUUGUAUGUACCAAGAUGAUUUACAAAACGUAUAAUAAAAGCAGCUAAAGAUAGUUUUAAAAACAGUACAAAAAUAACUCAAGAUGGUUUAUAAGCAAUACAACUAAGGCAGAAGCCUUUGCAUCCAGUUGGGAAAAGCUUGUUGAGACAAAUAAAGUCUUCAGUUGUUUUCAGAAAGUGAAGAUAGUGGCCAUGUGCUGUACCUCAACAGGAAUGCUGUUGCACAGAACAGGGGAAGCCACACCAAAAACCUCUGCCCUGAGUUACUAUGGAGCAGGCUUCUGAUACUUUGAGGACUUGAAGGAGAAAGUCACUCUAGCCAUCAUCCAGGCUGUUUCCUAGCAUGUCGCGCUGCACUAUACCACGUAGCAAAACAUGCUGCACAGUGUUAGAAUGGGCGCUAAGGAUUGCACCAUUCCACAGCAAGAUUAGGGCUUCUGGAGCUCUAUGCUCCACAAAUAAGGCACAUUCUUAAAAAUUUGCAGCCAUGUUCUCUGCUGUAUGGUUAAGGUUUGUCAGCAUUACUUGCCUGUUCUAGUACGCAGGGAUAUCAUGCAGGGUUGGACUAGAAGACCCUUGGGUACCUUCCAACUCUAUGAUUCUAUGUGUUAUUUGAAACAUCUAUUUCAACAUAUUUCGGUGCCUUUUCCUAUCCAAAAUAUGAUAUGCAUUUGCUAACUUUGUUCUACCCUGCAUACCUUUUCUUGUUCUUCCUAGCACAGGUAUAUCCAUGGUGGCAUAAUUAAAGUACUUAUGGUGGCUGUUCCACUUGAAACACCCCACAAAGGUGCUAUACAUCAUAUACAUGGUAUCCAUUUUUCAAGACAAUCUAUAACACUUCCUUUGAAACUAAAAGCCGUGAGCCAGUCUGGUGUAAUGGUUAGUGUGUUGGAAUAGGACCUGGGAGACCACAGAGUCUGAAUCCCCAUUCAGCCAUGAAGCGCACUGAGUGAUCUUGGACCAGUCACUGUCUCAUAGCCUAGCCUAUCUGAUAGGGUUGUUGUGAGGAUGAAAAGGGGAGGAGGGGGAGGAGAACCAUCUAUG